UGGCGGACGGGUGAGUAACGCGUGGGUAACCUGCCCUGUACAGGGGGAUAACAGUUAGAAAUGACUGCUAACACCGCAUAAGCGCACGGUAAGGCAUCUUAGUGUGUGGAAAUAUUAAUAGGUACAGGAUGGGCCCGCGUCUGAUUAGCCAGUUGGCAGGGUAACGGCCUACCAAAGCGACGAUCAGUAGCCGGCUUGAGAGAGUGAACGGCCACAUUGGGACUGAGACACGGCCCAAACUCCUACGGAAGGCAGCAG
rnacentral:rRNA from 1 species